CUCAUUGUCUUUCGCUGCCACCAUGUAAGAAGAGUCUUUUGCCUCCCGUCAUGAUUCUGAGGGCUCCCCAACUACAUAGAACUAUAUUUCUUCAAAGAACAAAAAAAAACCAGUAUGAAGCAUAUGAAACUUCAAGCAGAACAAACUUGGUUUGUCUCCUUCCAGAGAAAAGGUACUGAAGUUCCCAUACCUGUAGAGCUGCAAAGAUCAACAUUUCUUCCUCUGUGCAAUCAAUUUCUUCUAAGAGAAUGGCCCACCUGGCUUGCUCAUAGAGUUGGUUUAUUCGGACAGCAUCAUACUAGAGACAAAAACAGAGGUGUGUGUGUAAUGAGGUAUAUUUAUAUCCCACAAUACAAAGAUUCUGAAACAACUGAGGCCAUUCUCUGUUAAUCAGAUGCAGCAAACUUCAGCUCAGAAGCUAUGAAACUUGGUUGCUGGAUCGUUACACUGAGGCUAAUAAUGAAAGGAAGGCGGAAUAAAGGGCCUUGGUUAGCUACAGGAUCCUAUCGGACAGGAAGGAUUGCUGUUUGGCAGAGGGUGGGCAUUUCUGAAGAUCUUCAGGAAGUCAAGUUUAAGGGAUCAUUUCUUUACCAAGUCUUGCACCUACUGAAUUACUGUUGGGGUUGAGACCAACUGCAAGGUUUCAAAAGGAAUGGAAAGAAGCAUACUUAAUGAAAAAGUGCUGAGGAUUGGAUGUCAAACUUAAAAACAGAAUAUGAGGUCUCACUAUGU
rnacentral:lncRNA from 1 species